AAAAAAACACUCACACAAUACAUGAAAGGAAAGAUGAAAUAUAGAACAAAGUAUGGACAUUCCUUUUAAAUCUUCUUGGCUCCCUCCCUUGAGUGCUGCUUUCUCACAAACUUUUUCUUUCGAUUUGUCGGUUUGAAUGUGAUAUGAUGGGAGUUUUGUAGAGAAACCUGUGGAUUGAGGUCCACCAUUUGAUG
rnacentral:ribozyme from 1 species